rnacentral:rRNA from 1 species
UACGUAGGGUCCGAGCGUUGUCCGGAAUUACUGGGCGUAAAGAGCUCGUAGGUGGUUUGUCGCGUUGUCCGUGAAAACUCACAGCUCAACUGUGGGCGUGCGGGCGAUACGGGCAGACUGGAGUACUGCAGGGGAGACUGGAAUUCCUGGUGUAGCGGUGGAAUGCGCAGAUAUCAGGAGGAACACCAAUAGCGAAGGCAGCUCGCUGGGACGGUAUUGACGCUAAGGCGCGAAAGCGUGGGGAGCAA